rnacentral:rRNA from 1 species
AUACGGAAGAUGCGAGCGUUAUCCGGAUUUAUUGGGUUUAAAGGGAGCGUAGGCGGAUUGUUAAGUCAGCGGUCGAAUGUCGGUGCCCAACAUCGUCCUUCCGUUGAAACUGGCAGUCUUGAACGCACACAGGGAAGGUGGAAUUCGUCGUGUAGCGGUGAAAUGCUUAGAUAUGACGAGGAACUCCGAUCGCGAAGGCAUCCUUCUGGAGUGCGAUUGACGCUGAGGCUCGAAAGCGCGGGUAUCAAACAGGAUUAGAUACCCUGGUAGUCCGCGCCGUAAACGAUGGAUGCUCGUCAUUGGGGCAUUAGUUUCAGUGACCAAGCGAAAGCAUUAAGCAUCCCACCUGGGGAGUACGCCGGCAACGGUGAAACUCAAAGGAAUUGACGGGG